rnacentral:rRNA from 1 species
GAUGAACGCUGGCGGCGUGCCUAAUACAUGCAAGUCGAGCGAACAGAUGAGGAGCUUGCUCCUCUGACGUUAGCGGCGGACGGGUGAGUAACACGUGGAUAACCUACCUAUAAGACUGGGAUAACUUCGGGAAACCGGAGCUAAUACCGGAUAAUAUAUUGAACCGCAUGGUUCAAUAGUGAAAGACGGUUUUGCUGUCACUUAUAGAUGGAUCCGCGCCGCAUUAGCUAGUUGGUAAGGUAACGGCUUACCAAGGCAACGAUGCGUAGCCGACCUGAGAGGGUGAUCGGCCACACGGGAACUGAGACACGGUCCAGACUCCAACGGGAGGAAGCGGUAGGGAAUCUUCAGAAAUGGGCGAAAGCCUGACGAAGCAACGCGGCGUGAGUGAUGAAGGUCUUCGGUUCGUAAAACCCUGUUAUUAGGGAAAAACAAAUGUGUAAGUAACUAUGCACGUCUUGACGGUACCUAAUCAGAAAGCCACGGCUAACUACGU